AUCUGCACUGGCACAAGCCUCGAAAACAUACAGGAAAGUUUCCUCGUUUGGUUUCAUUCCCGACUCCCGCAUCUGAUCAUACAAAGUCAACCCAUCAUCCCCCAACCCAUUCAAUGCAUAUCCAUUUAUCAUCAAAUGCCAUGAGUCUAAAUUUCUAUCACGCAUAUGAUCAAAAACUCUGCGUGCAUCUGUCAUACUCCCACACUUGGAAUACAUAUUGAUAACUUUAUUGCUCAAACCAAGAUCACUCCUGCAUUUUGAUCUCAAGAAGUAAUCAUGCACCUUUUUAGCAUCUUCAAGUUUCUUUGAAUUGGCACACAACUCAAAGAGCAUGUCAAAACAUUGUGCAUCCGCAACUAUCCCCUGUUCCAUAUGUUCAAUAACCUCCUUAACUUUACCCUCUUGGCACAAGCUUAUUAAAUCAACAGUAGAUGGAGGACCACUCGGGACUUGAUUUUGCUCAAACUGGGCUUGGUUAUUAGAUUGAUUAUUCAUUGGAAACCCACUUCCUGGUGGCACCCUCUGUGCCUGAGAAUCCAGUUGACUGGGGCUUACUCGUGGAGCAUAAUUUUGAUUCUGAUUAUUCCACUGAUUACCAGCACCAGGCUGUGGAUAAUUCUGAUUUCUAUUGGGAUUUUGUGCAUGUUCUGGAUUCUGAUAUCCACCUUGUGGAUAACUUGGAGCCGCAUUCGGGGUUCCAUGUUGUCUGAAGCCUUGAUUUUGAUAAUUCCAUUGGUUAACAUUCCCAGGUGGUG
rnacentral:misc_RNA from 1 species